rnacentral:lncRNA from 1 species
AGGAUUGUUAAAUUUUUAUUGGAAUUUAUUUAGAAUUCUAUUAGAAUUCUUAUAACCUUGUUGUUGCAAUUUCCAAUUUACCUUCCAUAUUCAAGUGCCUAAUGCAUUUUCAAGGAAUACUUUAUAUUACAACAAUGGCAAACUCUCCGGUAGAGUCAGAACAGUGGACUGAGUCUUCGUAUGUUGCCCCGUAUUUGUCACUGUCGCCACCAGCUCCCGCUCGAUCAGGUUUUUGGCCUUCUUCACAUCAGCCGUUCCUCGUUUCAACUCCGAGCUGGAGAGCUGCACAGGAGAUGCUUCAUUCUGGCCUUCAGCAACUCCUAACAUGAAGGCUUCUCCACCAUUGUAAUUGUUUAAGCCCGAAGUACCUAAACCCUAAAUUUCAAAAAAAGAAAUUAUUUCUGCCCCACUCAA